GAGUUUCAUUCUGUCACCCAGGCUGGAGUGCAGAUGCAGUGGCAUGAUGAUAGUGCACUACAACUUGGAACUCCUGGGCUCAAGCCAUCUUCCCUCCACUGCCUCCAAGUAGCUGGGGACUACAGGACCCACAGGAGCAGUUCCUACAACUCAAGGGAGAGUUCGAUGGGGGUGUGAAAGGAAAUGAAAUCUUGGGACCCUAAACUCAUUAAGCCAAAGGGAAAAGCUGGGCCGAGAACUGGAUGAUGCAACCUGCUUCCACCUUUUUGCUUC
rnacentral:lncRNA from 10 species